UAGUAACAAUAAACAUCAGAGCCUGAGUCC
rnacentral:piRNA from 1 species